rnacentral:rRNA from 1 species
CAGUGAGGGAAGGCGGGUACGUUAAUAGCGUGCUUGUUUGACGUUAGCUGCAGAAGAAGCACCGGCUAACUCCGUGCCAGCAGCCGCGGUAAUACGGAGGGUGCGAGCGUUAAUCGGAAUUACUGGGCGUAAAGCGCAUGCAGGUGGUUUGUUAAGUCAGAUGUGAAAGCCCGGGGCUCAACCUCGGAAUUGCAUUUGAAACUGGCAGACUAGAGUACUGUAGAGGGGGUAGAAUUUCAGGUGUAGCGGUGAAAUGCGUAGAGAUCUGAAGGAAUACCAGUGGCGAAGGCGGCCCCCUGGACAAAGACUGACGCUCAGAUGCGAAAGCGUGGGGAGCAAACAGGAUUAGAUACCCUGGUAG